rnacentral:lncRNA from 1 species
AGGUAUAAAAUACAAAGUAUAAAAUAUAUACAUAUAUUAUUCAGAUGCAUAUAUAUAUUAUUCCGGUGACGUCCUUGGGUUUUAAUCUCCGGUGAGUCUCCAUCAGUGAUUUCGGUGUUCCACCGAGCUCGAGUUUUGUCAUUGCACCGUCGGAGCUUCAAGCGAACCCGUCCUCCAGCCCUAACCACUCUCGAUUCACCAUGCUCCAGCCGCCGUCGUUGAGCCAAGCAAAAAUCACCAUCUUCACUGCCGCCGUUGUUGAGCCAAGAAAGAGUCACUGAAACCGUGAGAUGCUCGGUAGAUCUGUCUGAUGGAGUCCAUGGUUAUGGCUCUCAGCCUUGUCUCCCGUAAAUCACCAUAGUUAAAACGAUUCAACAUGUAAAAUGAGACAAAGAGAGAGAGAUC